CCCCUUUUCAGACCGGUUCAUCGCUCCUAUAUACGUUCUGUCCCCUCGGGGACUAUGGACAUAAACGCGCUCGUAAUAAGCGGAUCGGACCCGGGGGCGGUACCCGGCGGCUCCACCAAUAAUCCUUCAUUUGGGGAUCAUGGGGCCGAAACAGGAUCGACGAACGUCUAAAGGGGUUAGCUUUGUCUCGGCUGUCUGCCACCGUUACCGGCGAAAACAGUACAAUUGCAAAUGACAAUCGUGCUCCGGUCGCAAUGGCUGCGUAAGCAGUCGGAGUUACCGAAAUCUAAGCCCUUACGCCUAGCCGCGUAAGGCGGGGUUCGCAGGUACCUGGCAACAGAAACCUGCACU
rnacentral:tmRNA from 1 species